AUUGAACGCUGGCGGCAUGCCUUACACAUGCAAGUCGAACGGUAACGGGCCUUCGGGUGGCGACGAGGGGCGGACGGGGGCGUAAUACAUCGGAACGUACCCGAACGUGGGGUAUAACGAGGCAAAACGUUGGGUAAUACCCGCUACUAUCGACGGCGGACAGCGGGGGACCGCAAGGCCUCUCGCGGACUUGGGCGCCGAUGUCAGAUUAGGUAGUUGGUGGGAUAAAGGCGGACCAAGGCGACGCUCGGUAGCUGGUCUGAGAGGAUGAUCAGCCACACUGGAACUGAGACACGGCCCAGACUCCUACGGGAGGCAGCAGUGGGGAAUAUUGGACAAUGGGCGCAAGCCUGAUCCAGCCAUGCCGCGUGGAGGAUGAAGGCCUUCGGGUUGUAAACUGCUUUUGUACGGAAAGAAAAGCAUUAUUUUAAUACAGGGGGGUCAUGACGGUACCGAAAGAAUAAGCACCGGCUAACUACGUG
rnacentral:rRNA from 1 species